AUUGAACGCUGGCGGCAGGCCUAACACAUGCAAGUCGAGCGGAUGAAGGGAGCUUGCUCCUGGAUUCAGCGGCGGACGGGUGAGUAAUGCCUAGGAAUCUGCCUGGUAGUGGGGGAUAACGUCCGGAAACGGGCGCUAAUACCGCAUACGUCCUGAGGGAGAAAGUGGGGGAUCUUCGGACCUCACGCUAUCAGAUGAGCCUAGGUCGGAUUAGCUAGUUGGUGGGGUAAAGGCCUACCAAGGCGACGAUCCGUAACUGGUCUGAGAGGAUGAUCAGUCACACUGGAACUGAGACACGGUCCAGACUCCUACGGGAGGCAGCAGUGGGGAAUAUUGGACAAUGGGCGAAAGCCUGAUCCAGCCAUGCCGCGUGUGUGAAGAAGGUCUUCGGAUUGUAAAGCACUUUAAGUUGGGGGGAAGGGCAGUAAGUUAUUACCUUGCUGUUUUGACGUUACCAACAGAAUAAGCACCGGCUAACUUCGUG
rnacentral:rRNA from 1 species